AUGGUUAAGUGACUAAGCGUACACGGUGGAUGCCUUGGCAGUCAGAGGCGAUGAAGGACGUAUUAACUUGCGAUAAGCCCAGAGAAGGUAGUAAAAACCGGUGACUCUGGGAUUUCCGAAUGGGGAAACCCACGUGCAUAAGCACGUAUCGUGUUGUGAAUACAUAGCAGCACGAGGCGAACCGGGGGAACUGAAACAUCUAAGUACCCCGAGGAAGAGAAAUCAACCGAGAUUCCGGCAGUAGCGGCGAGCGAAACCGGAUUAGCCCUUAAGCUAGUUUUGCGUUAGGUGAAAGUUCUGGAAAGUUCUGCGAUACACGGUGAUAGCCCCGUAACCGACAACGCAUUAUCAGUGAAAACGAGUAGGACGGGACACGUGAUAUCCUGUUUGAAUAUGGGGGGACCAUCCUCCAAGGCUAAAUACUCCUGACUGACCGAUAGUGAACCAGUACCGUG
rnacentral:rRNA from 1 species